rnacentral:misc_RNA from 1 species
UCCGGUUUGUCACCGGCAGUCCCCCAUGAGUCCCCGGCAUUACCCGCUGGCAACAUGGGGCGGGGGUUGCGCUCGUUGCGGGACUUAACCCAACACCUCACGGCACGAGCUGACGACAGCCAUGCACCACCUGUGAAGGUGCCCCGAAGGGAGACCGUGUUUCCACGGCUGUCACCUACAUGUCAAGCCCAGGUAAGGUUCUUCGCGUUGCGUCGAAUUGAACCACAUGCUCCGCUGCUUGUGCGGGGAGGAAGGUGGGGAUGACGUGGUACACCUGAAC